rnacentral:rRNA from 1 species
UACAGAGGGUGCGAGCGUUAAUCGGAAUUACUGGGCGUAAAGCGCGCGUAGGCGGCUUUGCAAGUCGGGUGUGAAAUCCCCAGGCUUAACCUGGGAACUGCAUUCGAGACUGCAUUGCUAGAGUAUGGGAGAGGGAAGUGGAAUUUCCGGUGUAGCGGUGAAAUGCGUAGAUAUCAAGUGGAACACCAGUGGCGAAGGCGAGUCUCUGGACAUUUCCUGACGCUGAGGCACGAAAGCCAGGGGAGCAAACGGG